CAGCCGCCGCGGUAAUACCGGCGGCCCGAGUGGCGGUCACUAUUAUUGGGCUUAAAGCGUCCGGAGCCGGGUUGGGAAGUCCUCCGGGAAAUCUGGCCGCUUAACGGUCAGAAUGCCGGAGGAUACUCCCAGCCUAGGGGGCGGGAGAGGCCGAGGGGAUUCCCGGAGGAGGGGUGAAAUCCUAUAAUCCCGGGAGGACCACCUGUGGCGAAGGCGCUCGGCUGGAACGCGUCCGACGGUGAGGGACGAAGGCCAGGGGAGCAAACCGGAUUAGAUACCCGGGUAGUCCUGGCUGUAAACGAUGCGGACUUUGUGUCGGACAAGCUAUGAGCUUGUCCGGUGCCGGAGGGAAACCGUUAAGUCCGCCGCCUGGGGAGUACGGCCGCAAGGCUGAAACUUAAAGGAAUUGGCGGG
rnacentral:rRNA from 1 species